rnacentral:rRNA from 1 species
UACGUAGGGUGCGAGCGUUGUCCGGAAUUAUUGGGCGUAAAGGGCUCGUAGGCGGUCUGUCACGUCGGGAGUGAAAACUCGGGGCUUAACCCCGAGCCUGCUUCCGAUACGGGCAGACUAGAGGUAUGCAGGGGAGAACGGAAUUCCUGGUGUAGCGGUGAAAUGCGCAGAUAUCAGGAGGAACACCGGUGGCGAAGGCGGUUACCUGGAGCUUUGCUGACGCUGAUGCGCGAAAGCGUGGGGAGCGAUCCGG